UUAGGGACGGACCAUUUGAUUUUUGAUGGGGGGGUGGGUAGAUUUUCAGUUUGCUCGAUAUUUUUUUUCCGCCUCCUGACACUGUUCGAUUUUUUUUUGUCAGUCAGAGGACUUGCACGAUAUUUUUUUGUAUGCAUGUAUAUACAUUUUUUAGUUUUUUGUUUUUACAUUUUUUGGUAUACAGUAUAAUAGGUAUUAAAUUGGACAAGUACUGGUGUAAGACAUUGUGUAGCCUAAAUAAUGAGAGGACCAG